rnacentral:rRNA from 1 species
AAAUUGAAGAGUUUGAUCAUGGCUCAGAUUGAACGCUGGCGGCAGGCCUAACACAUGCAAGUCGAACGGUAACAGAAAUCAGCUUGCUGAUUUGCUGACGAGUGGCGGACGGGUGAGUAAUGUCUGGGAAACUGCCUGAUGGAGGGGGAUAACUACUGGAAACGGUAGCUAAUACCGCAUAACGUCGCAAGACCAAAGAGGGGGACCUUCGGGCCUCUUGCCAUCGGAUGUGCCCAGAUGGGAUUAGCUAGUAGGUGGGGUAACGGCUCACCUAGGCGACGAUCCCUAGCUGGUCUGAGAGGAUGACCAGCCACACUGGAACUGAGACACGGUCCAGACUCCUACGGGAGGCAGCAGUGGGGAAUAUUGCACAAUGGGCGCAAGCCUGAUGCAGCCAUGCCGCGUGUAUGAAGAAGGCCUUCGGGUUGUAAAGUACUUUCAGC